rnacentral:rRNA from 1 species
UACGUAGGGUGCAAGCGUUAAUCGGAAUUACUGGGCGUAAAGCGUGCGCAGGCGGUUAUGCAAGACAGAUGUGAAAUCCCCGGGCUCAACCUGGGAACUGCAUUUGUGACUGCAUGGCUAGAGUACGGUAGAGGGGGAUGGAAUUCCGCGUGUAGCAGUGAAAUGCGUAGAUAUGCGGAGGAACACCGAUGGCGAAGGCAGCCCCCUGGGCCAAUACUGACGCUCAUGCACGAAAGCGUGGGGAGCAAACAGG